GGACUUCCGGCCGGCGCCGCCUGCGAAGGGCUCGGCGGCCGGCGGAGACGCGGGUGGCCGGUGAUGGCCGCGGAGGGGGCCGGCUGGGGCCCGGCCCAUGGAGGCAGACGGAAGGCGGUGGCCGAAGAGCCGCGCCCCUUGUCGAGCGCAUGCUGUGCGCUCCGCGCCUGUCUUUCCCGCCGCCGCCGCCUGCCUGCCAGGCUCACAGUGCAUCUCAGAUUGGACUGGCUACAUUUCAAGAGCUCAGAGGCAGAAGAGAAUUCCACAUCAAGUAGUGGAAAGGGCCCCAGCAUGCCCGGUACCAGUGCUCGGCCCUGGGGAUAUAACAGUGACUGUGCCAGAUGGGACAUCUGCCCUCACAGAAGUCACAGUCAACCUGUGAGAACGGGCUUAAGAGGGCAACUCCAACAUUGAUGAGGUGCACAACCUUGGGUGGAGGAGGAGCCGUGAGCCAUGGAAUGCAGAAAGCCUCUGGAGGCUAGAAAAGGCCUGGAAACAGAUUUCCUCCUAGCACUUCCAGAAAGCCUGCAGCCCUGCUGACACCUGACCUCUAGGGCCGUAAGAGCAUCAAUGUAUGGUGUUUCAGGCCACCAAGGGGGUGGUCAUUUGUCACAGUGGCCUCGAGGAACUAACACACCUGCCGUGGGGAAUGAGCACAUAAAAGAAUUUGUCUUGAACCCAAGACAAAUUUAGAUGAGAGACUGAUUUUGUGUAUUUACUUACUUAUUUAUUUAUUUACUUACUUGAAGGAAGAGAACCAGAGGCAAAGGUGGUGUACACACUUCAAAGGAUGGAGACAUAUCGGCAGGAGGCUGUGAAGACAACCCGGGGCAGGGGAUGGGGUCUGAAAAUGGAGAGGAGGAGUCCAGAUGUGUAUGAGGUGGGAUCAGUGGGAACGGGUGGCCAGUGAGAUGUGGAAAAGGAGGUGCCCUGAUUUGUUAGACCCAGUGACGGAGGUGGAGGAGGGGGGAGUGGUGUGGCAUUUGAACCAUUUCCAGGGCUCUGAAUAUGGGUGGGGGCUCUUCUGGGGGACACAAGAAAUGGGCUUCUCUGUCAGGUGAGCCGUUUGCUGGCCAGCUCCCAAACAGGCAUCAAAGCAGACGCUCAUUAUGAGGGCAGAAGCCGGGCGGGCCUGAACAAGCCCAGAGAGCCUUCUGGCACUCAUGCGCUUUGCAGUCUGAGCUGCAAUCUGAUUCCAUCUCAAGUGCCCAAUAGGUCAGUUGUGUCAAGAAACAGGAAGCUUUAUUUAUUUUUCCUUAGGCAGCAACAUGUAUUUUCAGGGCAGCAGUUUGGAGUUCCUGUCCCCAUGCCAAGGGGACUGGCCCCUUCCAGGUGUGAGUCACCUUGGUUCCUAUUUGUGCACAUCUCCGACCUGAAGGACCCGGCCCUGGAGGAGACAUGGAAAUGCAGGGCUUGCUUUCAGGAAGCAGGCCAGGGACUCUCGGAUUUGCCGUGGUCUACCUGCAAGGUGGCUCCCACCUGGCCAUGAUGUGCUGGGGCAGGAGCACCAAGGCCGAGUAUUUGUGUUACCAGGUCCUGCCCCACCCUGCAACACCCAUGCUCCCUGGAUCGCAAAGGCUUCAAACCUCCCAGCUCCCCAGACAAAAUAGCCAAAAGCACACCCAGCAGCAUUUCUCAGAGCGCCUUGUGCACACUGAACUCUGCACAUGUGCAACCGAGAACAAGUUGGGUAGAUGGAACAAGACAGGUGUUAUCAGUUUCUUAAGAGCUCACGCAAAUUGAUAAGAACCAAAGGAGCAAAGAUCAGAAACAGUCCGCAGGAGGAGAGAGUCAACAAACCUCAGAGUGGGUCUACCGAGUCAUCAAGGAGGGGCCCAAGGGUAAGGGCUAGUCAAGGUGUAGAUCAUUCCAGCGCUGCUGGAACCCCCAGCACUGGCUUUCCUCCGGGGUGGCAGAUGUGUUAAGUUGGAAAGACACCCAUCAGAAGACACCUGCCCAGCACAGAAAAAGGUUCAUCGUGGUUGUACCACUGACAGUAAUCCUGAGCCACCCAUGGAGGGGCUGUUUGCUGGCAGAUGUUUCUCAUAGUCUGCAGUGAGUUACCUUCAGCUUAGCACUGAUCUAAAUGCCCAGAGAUGAGGCUGGCUUAAUGAAUCGCACAUCUGCUAGAAAGGAUGGGGAGGAGGUCACAGCCAUAUGGAGUAAGAGUGGCUCCCAGCCUCCAGGCUGACCACCAUGUGGAUGCCGUUCGUGUUUUUAAGAUUUUUAUUUUUAUCUUUAUUUAUUUAUUUUUUUAAGUAGGCCCCACUCCCAGCACGGAGUCCAGCACAGGGCUUGGAACUCACGACCCUGAGCUUAAGACCUGAGCUGAGAUCAAGAGUUGGACUCAUAACCAACCGUGCCGCCCAGAUGCCCCAUGUUUGGGUGCCGUUCAGUCCUCAUGGUAAGCCUCUGAGCUAGGGCCUGUUAGCCCCAUUUUACGGGAGGAUCAAGUGGGCCCAAGGUCACACAUUCCCAGAGGAUGGCAGGGAGGGGCCAGGGGAUGGGGCCACAGGGCCAAACAGCUCCCACGGGCCCAGAAUUGCACCUACAGGGCCCUCCCCUUGAGGGUGAAAGAAUGGAGGGGGAGAGUGGAGAAAGGAGCAGCCUUGCCAGCACUGAGAGGCCCCAGCCCCAGCCCCAAGGGGGUGGUCAGGAGGAAAUAAGAUGCAGAUAAGAACUGUGGGGGUGGGUCUAGGAGAGAGGAGUGGUCCUACGAGAAGGUUUGCAUGGACCACUGUGGAGAAGGAGAGCCUGGCUGGCUGGGGGGUCAUGGGUUCAUGGUGGCAUCUCUGGGGUGUUAUUUCCACUCCCCUGUUCAACCCAGGGCCAGUGGUUUUGGAUGGCUGACUUUGGAGGCAAGGGGCCACCCUCAGUGUGUAGUGGAAGCACUAGGUCCACAUGAAUGAGGGGAGAAACCAAGGUCAUGUCUUUUUUUUUUUUUAAUUUAUUUUUUAUUGGUGUUCAAUUUACCAACAUACAGAAUAACCCCCAGUGCCCGUCACCCAUUCACUCCCACCCCCCGCCCUCCUCCCC